AUGUACUGCUCGAUUUGGUCAGCCAUGCUCGUCCACACCAUCGCUCGGCUCAAGGUUUGCUCCCUAUCGACCUGGUACACUAAUGAGGACAUGACUACCUCGGAUACGGCCAAAAAUAUUGCAUACGUGCAUAUUUGUGAGGUGUAUGGGACAUUUGUACAAUCCAUAUAUGAAGAUAAGGGAAAAAGAGAAGUUUAUGUGUUGUUCAAAAAGUCCUCUCACGUCACUUUUGGGCCAAGAGAAAAUAGAGUUCAAGUCCCACAUGUUCUGGACUCAGAUUCGGACUGCACAGACAUACCUGGAUGA
rnacentral:rRNA from 1 species